UAACUGAAGAGUUUGAUCAUGGCUCAGAUUGAACGCUGGCGGCAGGCUUAACACAUGCAAGUCGAGCGGGGGAAGGUAGCUU
rnacentral:rRNA from 1 species